AGAAUCAACGCUGGCGGCGUGCCUAACACAUGCAAGUCGAACGAGAAAGUGGAGCAAUCCAUGAGUAAAGUGGCGCACGGGUGAGUAACACGUGACUAACCUACCUUUUUAGUGGGGGAUAACCUAGGGAAACCUGGGCUAAUACCGCAUAAUACCUACGGGUCAAAGCAGCAAUGCGCUGGAAGAGGGGGUCGCGGCCGAUUAGCUAGUUGGCGGGGUAAUGGCCCACCAAGGCAGUGAUCGGUA
rnacentral:rRNA from 1 species